AGAGAAAAUUAAAUCUUUCCUGUCCGCUUUCAUUCCAAACCACAAGUCAAAGUCUCUCGUCUGCGGAGUCCAAAUGAGCCUGUUGUUUUUGGGCUUGGGAUAUUUUUUAUAUUGAAUAUAUUACAUAUUAAAAUCGGACUUCUUGUCAGGUGUGUUAAAUACUAGUGAGGCGGCAUGAAAAAAAGCCUCGUCCACCAUCUCCAGACCACUCCAGCCUGCCUUUGAUGGGAUUAGAUCCCAUGGUGACGUCAUCCAGAAGGUCUGUAGAGCAAAAAUAAAACCCCUUUUUAAAGUCAGCCCUGACAGACGUGGAGUUUGAUCCUCUUCCUGCGGAGCGCUAAUGCAGUUGAGGUCAAAACGUCUGAGUUGGGACAGACUAAAUGAUCCAUUUUAAGAUCUGAGUGCAUUACCCUGAUUGCAACACUUAAUGGAGACACAUGGUCUUUCCCAUGGGUGACCACCAUCUCAACAAAUCUACAUGAGGGCAGAGGUCAGGGUGAAUGUCAUUUCCAUGACUGUCUUAAAAGCCUGGCUGCAUCCUAAGAGCGUGCUAAUGGAGAUCUGGAGUUUGUAUAGGAGUCUGAGCCAAUAAAUAUGUCACAUUGUCAUGUCAUCUGUCGCUCAUUUGUAUUUAUUGCAGUGUAAUUGCGCCAGAGGUUUGACAUACAGUGAUGAAGGCCAGUACAAGCCAUCACUAGUAUUCCCCAGGCCAUUCCUAUAUUGCUCAUAGAACUUUUCUUGAUUUCCUUCUGCUAUACAAACACAGUUACACAAUCCUAAGAAACUAAGAACUACACUGGGAAUCACAUCUGUCAGGUAUCAAGAGUUUGAGAGUUGACUGAUUGUGAAAAAGGUCAGAAAAACAACCUUAGCUGUUCAGCUGUAGCUUGAAUGAACAAGUAAAAAAAAAAAAAAAAAAAAAAAAAUCAGAAACAUUGUGACUAGUUGGUUGAAUGAAACAGUUCAUAUACAAUCCAAAGACAAACUCUCAUGAAUAACCCAGUAAACAAUAUUUUAAAUGUAAUGAAAAUAAUAAAGUGAGGUGACCAUCAUUCACAACUCUGACAAUAUUGGAUGUUGACCUUAUUAAACCUUUAACCUAUUUAACCUUAACCUGCUGCUAACCUUAUUUAAGACUUUCUCGGAUAAAGGCAUAUUUCAACUUGUAACCUUUAAGAUAGGAAAAUCCAUCAAACUGAUACUUCAUUGUAAAGGUGGCACACAUUCUCAAGCAAUGCCAAAAUUACAUAUCUACUCUUCCCUGAUGAACCUUGAACCUGGAUAACACCUGAAAGCAUCACUGUUCUUGUGAUCUGCACAAGUCCACUCAUUUCAUCAUCUCUGAAAUAUGGUGUCAUUUCAUAUUUUUAAGUCUUUUGAACUCCAUGCAGCUAUCAGAGACUCCUGUAGACUGGAUCAUCUUCAGCAUUUCAGGGUUAGGCUCCCUCUCUCACUCCUCUGGUUACAGAGUUUGGUUCCUGGAUCCUGUAGCUCAGAAGUCUCCAAUUCUGUUCCUGGAUGGCCAAUGUCCUGUAGAGUUUAGUGCCAACCUGCCCCAACACACUAGCCUGAAGGUUUAAUCCUGAAGAUCUUGAAUAGUUGGUUUAAGUGUGUUAAUUAGUAUUUGAGUUGAACUUUUCCAGAUAGUGUUCCUUUAGGAGCAGCAUAGGAGACCUCUGCUGUAGCUCAACUGGCAGAGCAUGGUACUAGCAAUGCCAAAGUGAUAAAAUGUAUACCUUGAAUGUGCUGUAAAUUGCUUUGGAUAAAAACAUCUGCCAAUGUAUAUGUCAAUGCAAAAAGGCAGAAAAACAACCACUAAAGUCUCUAAAGUCUACAAUAUUAGUAACCCACCUUCAAGAGACACCCACUUCUUCAUUUCAUUUCUGCUGCCUGCCUCUGGUUACCUCCUUGUCCUCCCACUCAUUCUUGGUCAUUUGGUCAACUUUCAGCCCAUGUCACCCUCCGCCUCUUCAACAACCAUCUUGCGAUACUCCUUCGACUAAUUUUCUUAAAUGUCUGCACAUACUGCUGCCUCUGCCCUGAAUUCCACCCUCUCGUUAGAACUUGAUGCCUUUUGACCUUUUUUUCAGCAACAGGAUUAAGCACCUCUGUUCUAAACUAUUCCACCACAGUGAAAAAUGGAAGGAAACCAAUACCUACAAAGACCUUACAUCAUAAUACAUCCUUUGAUCCAAGGUUUCUUUAGACAUCAAAUCAGGAA